ACGUCUUCCCCCAUGUUUCUCCCUGGCUGGCUGCAUUCUGGGUAUUGUUCACUCUGGUUCUCAUUGCUGCUGGCGCUUGUGCAUAUCUUGGAUACACAGCGAAGCAAAAGGCCUCUCAGAAGAAACAAUCUGAACAGAAGGCUCUGUUAAACUUUGAGACUGAGAAGAAGACCUUGGAAGCAGG